GAAGAUGAGGUCGCAUAAUCUUGUGUCAAUUAGAGAUGUUUAUCCCUUCAAUCAUUUUUUGACAUUAUGGUCACUUAUUGGUUCAUGCUGUCAAAGAGAAGAAAAAUCAUAUAUUAUGUCUAGUUUAUUUAAGGUGGAUUGUAAUCCAAUAGAGAGAUACAGAAUAUAUUUAAAGGAUAUACGAAUAAUCAUCAUCAAUCGGAAGCUUCGAUCAAUUGAAGGUACAAUAAGCAGAAGAAGUUUUGAUUUUGGUUCAAAUAUUUUUAAAAGUAGAGUCUAUGAGAAUUCCAAAGUCCUCGUCAUGCUGAUAGAUAUGGAGGUAGAGGUACCAUGAUUUAAAAAAUGUUAUUUCAAUGUCUCGAGAUAUAGUUCUUCAAGUAUAUUUUAUAUAUGAAUAAUGUUGACGAAGCUAAACCUUACUUAUCUAUCGCAAGCGUUAUCGAGGAAAUAUCCAAUGAGUGACAAGUGGUUGUUGAAGAGCAUAAACAAUAUUCAUAAGUUGAUUUAGUGAAAGAAUUCUAAUGAGAUAGUGGCACCAAGACAAUAAAUGAGUGUCAACUUCCAAAUAUGUGAUAAACUUGGACUGCAUACAACAUUAGUAAUUUUUUUCUUUAUACAAAAUCAAAAGACAGCGUAUACAAUACAAAAGUGGGUUACUGACUNAUAAUUUCACAAUGGUCGUAUUUGUCACCCGUGGUUAUUUGUCAUCUAAAAUUAAUAUGUUUUACAACGGUUGAUCUUUUCAACCGUGGUGAAAUGUGUUUCUUUAAAAUUAAAUCCUAUCAGAUUUAGUUUAUUUCCUUCAAGACGCAAGUUCCCUAGCGAAGAACACAGACGGAAGCGAUAGCGAAACUUCCAAACUUCAUCACCUUUAUCACCAUUCAUCUUCUUUAGCUUAAUGUUGUUGCACACACGAAGGUUGAGUUUUCGCGAAAUCCUUCAGGUACACGAAGAUUUUACACAAAGGUUUCUUGGUCACAACCUAUUCUUCAGUUUACGGUACGUUAUUUAUUUCAUCACCUUUAUAACCAUUCAUGUUGAAUUUUAGGUUUUGGUGUUGUUAAAUGUUAUUUGUUGUGAAUAAAAAUUGAUUAGAAAACCAUAUUCAUAUGUAGUGUGUGUAUGAACUUCUAGAAGGUUGUGUGAAUGUAGAUUGUAUGUAUGUGAAAAUGUUGUGUUAAUGUUGAUUUAUAACGAUAUUAGUGCGUGAGAAUGUGUGUAGCAUUAGUGUGCCAUUUGUGUUAUUGUGAUUGAGUGAUAUUGAGAUUGUUUCUAUGUUGUUGAAAUGUUACAUGUGUGUGUGUGUGUGUGUGUGUGUAUAUAUAUAUAUAUAUAUANAAUUUUUCAAAAUUAUACAAUAUGGGUGUGGUAUGAUGAAGUCAAUAUAAAUUAAAAUGCAACGUCAAAAAUACAUGAAGUUGAUGAAGAUAUGGAUGAUCCAUUAGAAGAUAUGAUAUGUGAUAUUGGAGAAUAUUCUUGUAGGAAAGCUCGUAUUUAUGAUAUUUUAUGUAGUCAUAAGGAUGCAUCUUUAUACAAGGGGUGCACAAAUUUUACAUGAUUAUCUGUGGUGUUAAAAUUAUUUAAUCUGAAAGCAAAAAGUGGGUGGACGGAUAAAAGUUUCACGGAAUUGCUUGAAUUGCUAAAACAAAUGCUACCAGAAGAUAAUAAUUUGUCAGAUCAUUGUAAUGAGGUCAAGAAGAUAUUGUGUCUAAUGGGUUUAGAGUAUAUCAAAAUAUAUGCAUGCCAUAAUGAUUGCAUAUUAUAUCGGAAAGAGUAUGAAAAAUUGGAUCAAUAUCCAGAAUAUGGUGAGUCGCACUAUAAAGUGAAGGACAAUAGUGGUGAUGAUUGUGACGAUGUUAACAAGAAGCGUCCUCCAGCUAAAGUGUUAUGGUACUUGCCAAUGAUUCCAAUAUUCAGUAGACUUUUUACUAAUGUGGAUGACGCAAAUAAUAUUAGAUGGCAUGCAAAUGAAAGAAAUAUGAUGGAAACAUUCUCCAUGUAGUUAAUUCUUUACAAUGGAAGGAAAUCGAUUCGUUGUUUCUGAAUUUGGGCCUUGAGCAAAGAAACCUUAGUAUUGGGAUUGCCACUGAUGGAAUUAACCUCUUUGGUAAUUUGAGUACUAGCCAUACUUUGUGGCAUAUUCUACUCACGACUUAUAACCUAUCUCCUUGGUUGUGCAUGAAAUGCAAGUAUAUCUUGUUAUCUAUGAUUAUUUUUGGACCUAAACAAAUCGGAAACAACAUAGAUCUUUAUCUAAGUCCAUUAAUUGAAGAUUUAAGAUUUUUAUGGGGCGAAGGUGUUGACGUUGAUGAUGCUUAUUGAGGUGAAAAAUUUAAGAUGUGUGUCGUGUUAUUUUUCACAAUCAACAACUUUCAUGCAUAUGGUAACUUGGUUGGAUAUAGUGUCAAGAUACAUAAAGUGUGUCCUAUAUAUGAAUCUAAUACAUAUUUUUACCAAUUUCAGUUUGGAGAAAAGACUGUUUACCUUAGGAAUUGUAAAUUUCUAAGACCCAAUCAUCCUUAUUGUAGAUCGCAAAAGGCUUUUAACAGAGAGCAUGAGUUUGAAAUAGCUCCUAAACCUUUAACGAGCGAUGAAGUUUAUCAACGACAAGAACACCUUACUGUUGUCUUUGGAAAGAAUAAAAAAUUCCCCGUUGAGAGAAAUAUUUGGAAAAGUAGGUCGUUGUUCUUUGAUCUCCCAUAUUGGUCUAGCCUCGAUGUACGACAUUGUCUUGAUAUGAUACAUGUGGAGAAAAAUAUGUGUGAUAGUUUGAUAGGAACACUUUUAAACAUUAUAUGCAAGACUAAAGAUAGUAAUAAUUCUCGUUCAGAUAUGGUGGAUAUGGGUAUACGACAAAAGUUAGCUCCAGAAGAAAGAGGAAAAAGAGUUUAUUUCCUUUGGCAUGUCACACUCUAUCUAAAAAGGAAAAGAAAAGUUUAUGUGAGUGGUUGGUUGACAUCAAAGUUCCUCAAGGUUACUAAUCAAACAUCAAGAAACUUGUAUCAAUGAAAGAUCUCAAGUUAAUUGGCUUAAAACUCAUGAUUGUCAUGUCUUGAUGCAACAACUUCUACCAUUGGCUAUCUGUGACAUCCUACCAAAAAAUGCAAGAGUAACUAUAACCAGAUUGUGUUUAUUCUUCAUUUUUAUAUGUAAUAAAGUUCUUGAUUUCAAAAAAUUAUGUGAGUUAGAAGAUGAGGUCGCAAUAAUCUUGUGUCAAUUAGAGAUGUUUAUCCCUUCAUCAUUUUUUGACAUUAUGGUUCACUUAAUUGUUCAUCUUGUCAGAGAAAUCAUAUAUUAUGGUCUAGUUUAUUUAAGGUGGAUGUAUCCAAUAGAGAGAUACAUGAAUAUAUUUAAAGGAUAUACGAAUAAUCAUCAUCAAUCGGAAGCUUCGAUCAUUGAAAGGUACAUAGCAGAAGAAGUUGUUGAGUUUUGUUCAAACUAUUUGUUAAAAGUAGAGUCUAUGAGAAUUCCAAAGUCUCGUCAUGCUGAUAGAUAUGGAGGUAGAGGUACUCAUGAUUUAAAUGUUAUUUCAAUGUCUCGAGAUAUAGUUCUUCAAGUAUAUUUUUAUAUAUUGAAUAAUGUUGACGAAGCUAAACCUUACUUAUCUACUCGCAAAAGAGUUAUCGAGGAAAAAUAUCCCCGAAUGAGUGACAAGUGGUUGUUGAAAGAGCAUAACAAUAAUUUCAUAAGUUGAUUUAGUGAAAGAAUUUCUAAUGACGAUAGUGCAUCCAAGACAAUUAAAUGAUUGUCAUACUUGCCAAAAUUUAAUGUGAUAACUUGGACUGCAUACAACAUUAGUAAUUUUUUCUUUUAUACAAAAUCAAAAGACAGUCGUAGUACAAUACAAAAUAGUGGGGUUAUGGUUGAGACCGAAUACAUGUAUUUCUCUAGUUCGAAAGAUAAGAAUCAUAUAUUUACAUCUAGAGUGUACUUUGGGGUCAUUUAUGAGAUUUGGGAGCAUGAUUAUGUUUUAUUCAAAGUGUCUUUAUUUAAAUGCAAGUGGAUUGGAAAUAACAUUGUUGUAUAAAUUGAUGAGUUAGGAUUCACACAGGUUGACCUUGGCAAGGAAACUUAUAUGACUGAACCAUUCAUCAUGGCUAUCCUAGAAAAAUAAGUGUUUUAUGUGACUCACCCUUAUGAAAAAAGAUGACCAAUUAUUCUCCAAGGAAAUCACGUUCCGCAUAGUGAUGAAAAUCAUGAUUUAAGUUUUGAUAUUCCUUCGACUCCUUCUUACACAACACAAGUGUCUACUUCAUAUGAAGAAAUUGAUAGAGAUUAUGUGGAUGUUAUACAUAAUAAUCAUGAAGAACGCAUAUGGGAAAAUUAACAAGUAAAUUUUUUUAUUGUUUAUUCAUUAGUUGUUGUAUGUUAUAAUUUCUAAGGUUAUUAACAAGUAUUAUUAUUUGAAACUAUCGACGUUAAAAGUCAAGAUACAAAGAGUCAAUGCACCUUGUUCAUGUUAUUGAUAUUAUUUGAGAUAGUGAUAUGUAAAUUGUAUGUUGUUUUGUAGCAUUUUAGUUUUGAUGCAAUAUACAAUUUUUGGCUUUUAAUGCAUUUUUUUUGUUUUGAUAAAUGUGGUUCAUAAUUGAUUUGUGUUGUUGUUUUUUCUCUUUUAGGAAAUGAUGUAAAAUCAAAAAAUUAUAUUAAAAAUACAGGUAAAAAUUAGGCAAUUUUGUAAAAUUAUAAAAUUAUAUUUAAAAAAAUCAUUUCACCACGGUUGGGUAUUGCAAUCGUUGUUAUACGUAAGCACGUUAUUCAUAUUUAAACCCCCUCCCCAAAAUGGAAUUGUUAGGUAACGAACCCAGAACCUUAAAGCAUUUCACUAUGGUUGUUUAUUACAAGUGUGGUGAUAUGUAGCGCGCUUGCCAGCAUAUUACCAUGGGUUGUAGAUCAUUAUUGUAAGUAUUCGACUUACAACCACAUACAACUUUACCACGGACCCUCAAGUGUGAUUAUGUCUCAUUUAUGACUAUUGUUAAAUAUAUUAUUCAUAGUAGUGUCUUUUGCAUUGUAAUGGAAGCUUUCAACAUACAAAUAGGCAGUUUGGUAGAUCGAGUAAAAAUUAAUUGCAUAACUUAGAUUAUGUCUCAUUUAUGACUAUUGUUAAAUAUAUUAUUCAUAGUAGUGUCUUUUGCAUUGUAAUGGAAGCUUUCAACAUACAAAUAGGCAGUUUGGUAGAUCGAGUAAAAAUUAAUUGCAUAACUUAAAGUAAUACAACUAUUCCUAGCCAUACUUUCUUUUUUAUUGAUAUCAUUAAUUUUGCAAAGCCACUAGGAUGAAGGCAACAAACAUACAUGAUCUUCUUCAAUAGUAUGGACAAAACUCAAGACAAUCUUUAUCAAGUGCAAUAAGACAGGAGUCAACCAUACAAGACUCGGCUAUUAUGUUUGGCUUUACCAUUGGUCAAACCCCUUUUGACUACCUUAAAGUGCCUAUUUUUUAAAAGGCAAGCCCAUAGUCAAACAUCUUCAAGUUAUCUCAAACAAGGUAAUAUCGAAGUUAUCUACUUGGAAAUAGCACCUUCUUUCAAUGAUGGGUCGUGUAUAAUUAGUUAGAUCUACCAUCCAUGGAAUAUUACUUUAUAGACUCAAAAUAUAUGAGUGGAUAAUGACUCUUUUGAAUAGGUUGGAUAGCUACGUUAGAAGUUUUGUGUGGACAUGUGAUAUUGACCCAAAAAAACUUUUCACUUUCUUCUAGGAUAAAGGUUGUAAUCUUAUAUCUAUAGGUAGACUUGGUUUGAGGAAAAUUAAGAGCAUUAUUAAGCUGGGAUGUCUUACUACUUAUGGAACAUGAUCACAACUAACAAAUAAUGGGUCAUUACUUAUAUAAGUGUGUACUUAAAGAUAAAACAACCUAUUAAGCACCACAUAUCUUCUUUGAUAUGGUUUGCUUUAAAGCAUACUUUGAAAGAUAUUGAAGAUCAUAAUACAUGGAAAAUAAGGAAUAUGACAAUUUGUUAGGUUAUAAAAUCAAAGACUUCAUUGUCCUUCUGGAUCAAAAUUACUAUUAUCCAAUAUCUAAUCCAAGGAAAUUUUGGAUUAUUCCUCAAAAUUUCACCAUUUUUGCACCUGGGAUAACAAAUUCUCUCUCUCUCUCUCUCUCUCUCUCUCUCUCUCUCUCUCUCUCUCUCUCUCUCUCUCCGUCUCCGUCUCUCUUCUCUCUGCGUUCUCUCCCCUCUCUCUCUCUCUCUCUCUCUCUCUCUCUCUCUCUCUCUCUCCUCUCUCUUCUCUUCUCUCUAUAUAUAUAUUAUAUAUAUUACUAUAAUAGUAAUAAUAUAUAUUAUAUAUAUAUAUAUAUAUAUAUAUAUAUAAUAUCACAAGUAGUCAUAUGAGUGUCUUUCCCCUCUUUGGUUGUGUUCACUUAAUAUUUCGUCAGAUUUGGUGUUACUGAUGAUGUUGGUCCUGGCUUGGAGAGCUCUAGCCUUACUCUGAUUUUGACUGUUUUGGUUGUUGUAGUUGCUUUUGUUUUUUCCCGUUUUUUUUGGUGUUUUUUGCUUUUGGUUAUUUCAUUGUGUUUUAUAUCUAGCUGACUUAGGUAUAUCUUGUACCUCUUUUUGACUGUUUUUUUUAUAUUGGCCUUUGCCCUUUUCUUAUUAAUAUAUCUAUAAUUUGUGUCUUUCAAAAAAAAUUAAAAUAUUAUUUAAAGUAUUUCAUUUUUUAUAAUAAUUUCUUUUAUAUCAAAAUUUUAAAAAUAUUUAAAACUAUUUCAAAUAAUUUUUUAUAAAAAUCAUUUGUGAGAUGUAUCUUUUUUGAAAAAAUUGUAAUUUCAUCUGUAUUUUAAUUUUCAAUAAUGUAUAUUCAUAUAAUAUGAUGUCAAAAUUAGUUUUUCAAUUUAUAAAAAAUAAUUUUUAAAAAAACAUUUUUAUAAAAGAAUAAUUGACGUACGGGAGGGUUGCACAACACGCAUCAGUGCAAUGGGAGAAGAGUCAACAUGCUUCUGAUGCCUCUGGUCCCUCUGGCCAUUCAGAGUCAUCUACUUUUGAUGCUCGUACUUCUCCUUAUGCUUUUCCAUCUUCUUUUCGUAGUAGACGGGUUUCACCUCCGGACACAUUUGUCCCUCAAUCCUCCCGCAGGCGCUAGGUUUCACAUAUUCAGACGUUUGAGGUACUUGAGUCACUAGUGGUACUGGAGGCGCCACUGCCACCUCCUACUGCUGAUGUUGUUGAGCCAGUGCAACCUCCAUAGGGUGAGGCUGUUACGGCUGCUUAGCCAGAGGCAUUUGGAGGAGACCCUGUAGAUUUGUCAUUAUUGUCUCUAUACCCAGACCAUACUGCCAAACAUAUCUCUGACUGAGAGGUAGCAUUAGUUGUCUUCAUUCUUUUUAAUUGACAAAUUUUUGACAUUGUUUUUCAUUUUUUCAGGACCGUGAUCCGCUGAAGUUUAUUAACCACUGGCGGAAGAUUAGUGACUUGCCUCAACCGAAUGAUUAAUGGUUUCAGGUUGUUUUGUCCUUAUUUGGCCUGAAGGACUUGUGCAUGACCGGUUAUACUACGGUCAACCACAGAAGGAGGCACAUAGUAUCAUAGCCCCGAGCGACUUAAGCUACGUGGACGGAUACAUCCGGUGGUUCUUCAGGGUGUCCCAUCUGUAUAUGGUGCAGGUUGCUCCAGGAGACCCACCUAGGCCAGCUCAUCAGUAGAUACUAGAGGAUGAGCAAACGCAGUUAGAUCAUGUUAAGGAUGUCUUGCCUAGAUGUCGUCGCAUUGUGGAGAUUGAGCGUUCCUGGUGGGUCUGAUGUGAGGCUAGUCCUAAAUGUCAUCAAGACGGAGGCACAGAGGGUUUUGAUGUACCGAGACAUCGUCGAAGGACGGGGGAAAUUGAUGGUCGAUGAGGCAGAGCAGGCAGGGGCAAUGUAGUCCAACAUACACAGUAGUGCAUUAGUAUAUAGUAGUAGUAGUAGUAUGGAUUGUAUUUUAUUUUAACAUCAUGCUACUUUAUCAUUGUUCUCGAUUUUUUUGUCAUUUAUUAGUCUUUUAUUUAUAUAUGACAUUUUUGGACCAUCUGAAUUUAUGUACAUCAUUGUUUGUAUAUCGAUUGUAUGGUUUAAAUCUCAUCACACAACAUGGUACAUAGCGCUUAUAAAUCUUUAUCUGAAUACGCGUAAACAAAACAUAACAUAAAACAUGUUCUAAUACGUUAUAGAGAUGCAACUCCGUAAAAUAAACGGAGAUGAAUAUCUGUAAUAAUUUAACGUUCAAUAAAAAAUUAAGGCAUUCAAAGAUGUAUCUGUAAAAUCUAAAGAUAUUUAAGUAUUUUUACGUGGUAGCUAAAAAAUAUAUAGUAUGCAUAAAAAUUUCCAUUUAUAUUAAUAGACGACACAUAUAAGCAUUUCACUUUGUAUCAAGUGCCAUUUGAAUAUGUCUCUAAAGUUUAGAAUUAAAAAUAAAAUUCAUCAUUUAAAUAUGAACAAACAAAAGAUGUGCACUCUCUCAAAUCACGCGUUUAAUGAUAUGGAAAAUACAAGGAUUUUAAAAGAUGUGCACUCUGUCAAAUCAAGCGUUUAAUGAUAUGGAAAAUAUAUAGAUUUAAAAACUAGCAAAUCAUAUAUCAAUAAUAAUAAAUAAUAAAACUAUCAAAUUGUCCAUCUGAUUCAGUUUGAUUUUUAAAUGAACAUGAAAUUCAAUUUGAACGAUUUUAAAAUAAGGAUAUAUAAUAAUAUCCAAUUAUAUUUAAUUUUAUGUGUUCAUUUGAAUAUAACUGUUCCUACUCCAAUACUCACAAGAAUCGUGAGUUGUUCAAUCAGCGACAAUCAUCAUUUCGAAAUGUCACAGUGGGGGGAUUUAUUUGAAUCUUGCUAACAAGUAUUCAAAAACAUGUAAUUGUGGGGAAAUUUAUUUGAAUCUUGCUAACAACUAACAAGUAUUCAAAAACACCAGAGCAUUGUAUAAGGUUUCCAAAUAUCAUAUUAAUUAAAAGUCAAGUAUAUGCCUUUUCAAAUAUUAUAUUGGGUUUAGCUAAUGAAUGCUCAGACAAAUUAGCAUCUACUAAAGCCUUUCCUUCACCACUGUUCUGGUGAGAUUUUUGCUGUUCCACACGAGCACGAGUGUUUCUACAUGCACUGAUCGUCUGCGACUGCCUGGGGAAGGGACUGGGAGAUGAAAAGCGCAUCUUUGAGAUUUGCAUCUUGCUAUCUUCAAGAUACUCAAAAAGCAUCUAUCUGCAUACUGCAAAAUGAGAAGGUGGACUAUAGUUAUCAGACUUGCACAUGUACAUUUAUAAUAGUUUGGCGUUAAUUGGGAUGGCAGCGCAAAAAUGUCGAGAUACUUAAUACGGAAGAGGGAUGGUACUGCUGCAUUAACUUACAUUUGGAAUGUCAAAAUCACCUUCACUUGCAUCACAUAUAUCCAGUGACAAUUUACGAAGCAAUGGCAUCUGUUAGUUACAACAGAAGAUAUAACAGAAAAUGUCAAGUACCUAAAAUUUAACAAAACCAAAAAUAAAUAAGAUAAAGAAACACAAGCAAGGUGCAACCUCUGAAGCGGCAUGAAAAAUGAAGUUUCUUUGUAGCCCAGGACCCUGUGUAAGCAAGGUCAAAUCAUUAGUUAAUCAUAUAGUUUCAAUAUAUAAUUCAAAAAUCCAAAGGAAUACACAUAUCAAACUUUAGCUUCUCAAUUUUAUGAAGUUGUAUCUUUAUCUUUAUAAAAGGAUACCCGAAUCUAUCAAAAUAACUACACAAAAGAAGCCAAGAACAGAAAAAUGACAGCGAUUUAUUUUAAUCAAUCCUUAUCAUGAGAAUCAAGUUCCCACAUAAUCAUCAAAUGAAAUAUUUAGGUCUUUAAAAUAAAAAUAAAGUAAAGAAUAUAGAUGCCACAAUAAUUUGUACACCAAUCAGUACAUUCACAACAGAGCUUAAAUACCAUCGCUUGCACUUGGAAUCAACGCGUGACAACAUGAAGAAUAGCAACAAUACCGGAUUUUCUUUCUUUUUUUUUUGUUUAUAAAUAAAUGAGAUAAUUCAUGAAUAUUAUUUAUGGUGUUGUUGCUAUAUUAAUCUAAACAAUGACUAGAUGAUUUAGGACAAGCAGAAAAUUAGUUAUCAAGACGUAACCAACCCAAAAACAGUCUGACUAGAAAACAUAUGAAUAACUUAUCAUGUGACCACUGACCAUCUUUCAUAAUUUAGAUUUUACUCUUCUAAUAUGAAAAAGUAUACUUUAGCUGUUGAAUGCAACUUUUCAUCACAUGCAUAUAUAGCAAACUCUAAAAUUUGUUGAAAAUGAAAUGUAGAUAAACUUUGCAGAAAAAAGGGUUGACAGAAAGCUCACAUUAUGACGCAAUAGAAGAUCUUCAAUAGCUCUGCAGUCAAGAAGAGCCGAGACCCCAUUUGCUGUUAUUUCUCCACACUCCUAAACAAUAGGCAUCCAUGUUUAGUGCAGUUGCAAACAAAAGUAAAAAUCCACUAUCCAUGAUCUUUCUACCUCCUUCACACGUUACCAAUGAAAGAACUAUGAUGCAUAUAUGUGUAAUCUAAACUACUAAUAUUUGCUAUGGUGAAAUGACAAAGAAUUGAAUAGCUAUUAAUCACAUAGAAGGACCCAUCUUUGAUUCCCUCAAGUAGAAAAACCUAUAUUCUAUAAAAUUUCUCAUGACCAGAAGAUGACAGCUGCAGGCCACAGAUAUUGCUCAGUUUCAGCUUUCUGGGUAAACUCCCUAAGGAAGCAUAUUCGUGAUACAUAGACGACAGCCUUUGUGUCUGAAUCAGUAUAUCAGUAUAUGAUUAUAUACAUGAUAUAACCAUGCAUACAGUAAUUCCAAUAGUUUACAAGGGGAAAUGGGAAAAAGAUUAACAAACCUCUAGAUGUAGAGAGACCAAGCCUGGCCAUGCAUGUGAAAUUAUCUGUUGAGAAUCUGCAAUGAAAAAUUACAUUGUCAAACUGUAAAUUUUCAGCUUUUGAUUAGGUGGUCAGCAGUCAAUCCCUGUAAGGUAAUUUUAAACAAGAAAAAUUACCAUAUUGCAACCCCACCCCACCCUCUGUUACUUUUUCUCUUUGUUGCAAAUAUUGGUUACCGAGGAGUACUAAGCAGCAGUAGAAGACAAAACAAUUAUCAAAAUGGCAUACGUUGGCUGUUUGGUGCUUAUUGAUAUUUUGAUCAUCUCUGAAGGUUCAACUUAACCAAAUUAAAGGCUUUGUUUACAGAUUCACGUCCAAUUAAUUAAGUUAAUUGCAAUUGAUCAUAUUUUCAACUAUUUGAUCCUAACCUGAGUUAAGAAGAGGGCAACCAAGCAAUGAAAGCUCUACCAAAUUUCUACAGUUUUGAGAUAAAAUAACUAGAUCAUCAUUGUUCAUCCAUGGGGUAACUCUUUCAAGCCUCAACUUUCUUAGAUUUCGCAUAGGGAAUUUGAAGCUUGACAUCGAUAUAUCACCAAAACAAUAGCACAGAGCUAAUACUUGUAACUCCACCAAGGUCAUAAUUAAUUUCGUCACGAUGAUAUCAGAUAUUACCUGGAGAAAACCAUAACAACAAAGAUACACAACAAACAAAAGUUUAGAAAUCUGAUAAGAGUGUCUGAGAACUGAAGAACAGAAUCACACACAGAGCAGAAAAACAAGCAUUAACUUAAAAAGAGAAGCAUACAUCUCAUAUGCUUAGAUACACGAUUAAUAAGAAACACUUCAGCUAUAAAUGAUAAGACUAUUAGAAGUAUAAGCCUCGGCAUGUCUUGUUAAAUAGGCUGAUUGGGAAAAUAAUUAUGCCAAAUGUUACCUGUAGAAAACCAUAAGAAUAAAGAAAGCAACAAACUAAAUUUAAGAAAUGUGAUAAGAACAUCUGAGAACUGAAAAACAG
rnacentral:lncRNA from 1 species